rnacentral:tRNA from 1 species
GCCUGGGUGGCUAAGUUGGAUAAGCCUCUGACUUCGGCUCAGGUCAUGAUCUCAGAGUUCAUGGGUUAGAGCCCCAUGUUGGGCU